rnacentral:rRNA from 1 species
GGCGUCAAUGCACACGCCAUCAUUUCGGCAGUCUGUGCUAUAUGUGAAAGCAUAUACGUGACUGUCAAGUUUACCUUAAAUAAAUUAAAAUGCUCAAAAUAAGCGUAUGCUUGAAUAUCAUAUUAUGGAAUAAUGAAAUAGGACUUCGGUUCUUUUUGUUGGUUAUUGAAUCGGAGUAAUGAUUAAUAGGGAUAAUCUCGGGGGCAUUCGUAUUUCUGCGGGAGAGGUGAAAUUCUAUGAUCGCAGAAGGACGCCCUAAAGCGAAAGCAUUUGCCAAGAAUGUCUUCGUUAAUCAAGAACGAAAGUCAGAGGAUCGAAGGCGAUUAGAUACCGCCCUAGUUCUGACCGUAAACGAUACCAUCUAGCGAUCCGAUAGGGUCUAUCUAGCCUUGUCGGGGAGCUUCCCGGAAACGAAAGUCUUUCGGUUCCGGGGGUAGUAUGGUUGCAAAGCUGAAACUUAAAGAAAUUGACGGAAGGGCACCACCAGGAGUGGAGCUUGCGGCUUAAUUUGACUCAACACGGGAAAACUCACCCGGUCCGGACACCGUAAGGAUUGACAGACUGAUAGCUCUUUCUUGAUUCGGUGGUUGGUGGUGCAUGGCCGUUCUUAGUUGGUGGAGUAAUUUGUCUGGUUUAUUCCGAUAACGAGCGAGACUCUAGCCUGCUAAAUAGAACGAGGAUAAACCUUUUCAUAGGUCCUCGAUGCUUCUUAGAGGAAUUAGCGG